AUCCAUAGGAGCCUAGUGGGAGUCAGACAGCAUAUUACCUAAACAGCACAGUUAACAAUGGGCAAGGGCGAUGCUCCACUGAUGUCGGCCUUCCCCAGACACCUCUCAGCAGCUCCUCGGAGCUGCCCAGCAGCCACAGCUCCGGGUUUGCAAGGCUUAACUGAAGAGAUGAGCCAAGUACAUCAAAGAUGUGGAUCAAAGCCCCAGAGUCACUUUCUCCCGAGUUCAAGAGGACAGACUCCCAGAUUUUGUUUUUGACAUGCUGGUCAACUCAACGUUUGACUGUCUGCUGACAGUAAGAAAGCUUUCUCUGAUUUCUAUGUCUAUCCUUGGUUCGAAUAUCCAGAAGUAUCUGAUAAAGCCGCCACUGCCAUUCCCACUUGACCUGUAACUGUAAGUUAAGAUUUUUCUAUUUAAGAGAUACAAAGGGUAAGGAAAUGAAUUAACUGCCAUCCAUCAUUGAGCUGGGUAUAGAUAGUUUGGUAAAGCUUUGUGAAUACUAA